rnacentral:misc_RNA from 1 species
AGUGGAGAUCUUGAUCUUGAAUGCGAUCUUGACAAAGAACGGGGCUUUGGCGACCCAGAGCGAGACCGAGAAACAGAUCUAGAUCUGGAUCUUGAUCUUGACCUAACAGGUGAGCGGCGUGAAGAUUUGGUUUUAGGAGAUUUACUCCGGCUCCUGCUCCGGCUAGAACUUCGGCCACAGCUGCGGCUGUCACUACAGCCUCUUGAAUGAGAUCGGCCACGACCAGGGCUCCUAGAGAUGUCACGCUUGGAAUCAUAUUCUCUCACACGGACAUAUGCCCGAGAAAACGCAUUUCGAAACUCAGAGUCAUCAAGUUUCUUGAUUGCUGACUUCAUGUCUUCGUAGUUUGUGUAAUCCACAAUCCCUGUGGUACCACUACCAUCACGGAACACUUG